GUUGUGAUGCCUGUAAUCGAGAUCAUCCGUCGGUGGAACGUCGUUCUCAGUUGGAUAGCUAGCUGAUCCACACAGGUGGAGAUGGACCAUGACGUUGAGAGGGACAGAGCUGGAUGUCAUUUGGCUCUUCAGUGAGCAGGCUCAGAAAACAAGCCUUUUCCAUCUCAAGCAAAUGUAUGUAUUUGUAACGUCCUCUCAGAGCUGAAAAUCCAAGAUGAGACAUAGAAGAUGCCAGUAUCUGAUCGUCCUCCACGCGAUGGGACUCCAUGCCAAG